UAUGUGUACUUGUGUCUACGUGUGGGAACAUAUAUGUUUAUAUGUAUAUAUAAGCUUGAAACACGUGUACCGCAGAAUCUUUUGUGUUUUGUUUUUAUUUUACAUUUUCUAUAUAUAUAUAUAUAAUACGGUACAUUUAAACACAAGAGAAAACUACCUUCAACAGGCAGUUUUUACACACUAGAAGAAGUAGUCAAAACGACCAAAACCACAUUUAAGAACAAUCUUCAAAAGGAAUGAAAAAUAAAAGCUUUUUACCUUGUUAUUUUAUUCUGGUCAGACCUAGGUUUCUGGAUUUUUUUUAGCAAAUAAACUAAUUUACUAGGCGAAAUCCUUCAUCAGUGACCGCGCCAUAACACUAACAUAUAAUUAAGAGACGAUUAACACGUGUCUCUUCGUUAUACAUUAUAAUUUUUCAAAUUCAUCGCGCAAACGCAGUAUCAGUCGGCAGUAAAUGAAUGACCGCCGAACCAAUCUUUUAAAAAUUGUUAAAGACAUAUACAUAACAUAUAUAGGGUGGUAAGGUUUUUUGAAAAUUCACCACCAGUGGCCUAGCAUGCAUAAAAAGUCAAUAGACAACAUAUUCUCAAUAUAAAAUAGUGUGCAUUUAAACACAAGAGAAAACUACCUUCAACAGGCAGUUUUUAUACGCUAGAAGAAGUAGUCAAACGACCAAAACCACAUUUAUGAGCAAUCUUCAAAAGGAAUGAAAAAUAAAAGCUUUUUACCUUGUUAUUUUAUUCUGGUCAGAGCUAGGUUUCUGGAUUUUUUUUUAGCAAUGAAAAUAAUUUGCUAGGCGAAAUUCUUCAUCACAAGAAUGAAUUACAACAAAUUUUUUGUGAACCUUAUUUUUAAAUCAGAUAAAAAUUAAAUAAUUAUUGUCACCCAUCCGCUUGUGGUUUGAAUUCUUGAAUAAAGUUCUUUUCUUUUGCUCAGCCUGCUACAAUUCUUAAAUCACAAAUUUUACAAAAUAAAAAGUUUUAAAAAAUUAUGGUUACGUGUAUCCUGAUAUCUAUUAUUGUGGAUUUGUUUGAACUUAGAAUCACGAAUUUGCUACUGGCGUAGUUUCAUGUCUUGACGGUGCAUUUUCACUCUUGCCUAUAUAUGGUUUUUAAUUUCGGGCAUGCGCGUUUUUUAAAAAAUUUGUCGACUACACAGUAUAGUAGGGUCAGUUGCGCACAGUCUGUGAGAAAAACAGCACCAUGACGCAAUUCACUCUGCCUAAAAUAUGGAAAGAACAUGCUGUACUGCUCCAAUACAAGCAUUUCAGAGUGUCUGGGUGUCAGUCUGAGAACAGUGCAAUCUGAGGACAUGUACUGUGAGUGAUAAAAAUCAAACAUUUAGUCAACAUCGUGUUUGGAGUGAUCACUAGCGAUGGCGACGUUAUAUCUACAUUCAUCUUCCCAUACGGUCUCAGACACAAGACGGCGGCCUACAUUAAGUGCCUGGAGGAGGUAGUGCUGACCUGGGUGAAGAGUGUGGCUGCUGGAAAACCCUGUGUCUGGCAACAGGACACCGCACUAUUCCACACAGGCAGGAGAAUCCAGUCAUGGCAGUCAGACAAUUUCUGCGACAACAUCAACACUAACAUCUGGCCACCUAACUUCCCAGACUGCAACCCCCUUGAUUAUUAUGUGUGGGGCGCAGUUGAACGAGAGACCAACAAAACUCCUUGUAAUACCAAAGAUGAGAUGAAGGCAAGGAUUAUGGCAGCAUUCACCAACUUAAACAAGAAGGCCGUCCAGAAGAGUUGCAGUAGAUUCCGAAGUCGUCUGGAGGCCGUGGUUGAAUAAAUUUACUCUUUAGUAUUUCAAGAUAUUUUUAUGUAAUUUUGGUAAAUAUAUCUGUUAAAAUGAGUGGUGUGCCCAUGUGCGUGUGUGUGCUUAUGUGUACGUGCGUAUGUGUGUAUUUGGGCGUGUGUGUGUACCUAUGCCUUUAUUCACAACGCGGACUUUUCAUACAGCGAAUCAGAUUACAAAUUUUGCAAUUCAUCCUUGCAUUUAUAAAAAUUCUUCUUCCUGUCUUUGCGUUAAGAUAAAGACGAACAUGUAUAAAUUGAUAUUUAAUGAUAUACAGAGCACACGUAGGGAAAUCUAAGACUAACACAACCACGAAUUAUUAGUUCCUACAUACUUUUCACUGUUACAUAAAUGUAGGUACGUAUGUACGUACGUACCUACCUACUUGCUUACAUGCCAACAUACAUUCAUACAAAAUACACACAUACAACAUACACACAUACAUAUAUAUGUGCGUAUGUAUAUAUAGUUUACUCUUUUGUUGAUGUAAAAUCAAUAACAAGUACUCCAACUAGUGACAUGUAAAUAAUGUUUAAUUUACGCAAUAUGUAUAUUCAAAUACAUGCAUAUUUAUACGUACAUACUUACGUGUGUGUGUAUACAGAUACAUACAUAUAUGUAUGUAGAGAUAGAUAGAUAGAUAGAUAGAUAGAUAGAUAGAUAGAUAGAUAGAUAGAUAGAUAGAUACCUGUGUGACAAAUCCGGAAGUGAGCAAACACAUGCUCAGUGUUUACCGGAUAUUAUUGACACGUAUCUUUACGCCACGUCAAUAUCAGCGUGCUACCAGUUCAGUCGACUCUUUGUGAAUUAACUACGAUGGAAAUCAGCAGAUAUACGUUUGCAUUUUUGCACAUUGUUCCACUUGUAUACAGCGUAAACUAUGAUUCAAUUUCAAGGAAGACUAUAAUUAUUCGAGAAAAUAUUUUUAUACCUAAAUCUUAUAAUACACUACCACCGGAUAUAAUUACAUUUAAAUAAAAUGAAAUUCGUAACCUGUCUGAUUUGCAAAGAGGGAAAAUAGUUGGAGAGCGAAAAGCUGCAGCUUCAAGUCCAUAAAACUCAUAAAUUUAUUUUUCAAGAGGUACAGUCACGAAAAUCAUGUUGACAUUCUGAUUCUAAGGUGAGGUCGGAUCUGGCGCGUAUACUUUUGAUGGAAGGAAAAGCCCAUUGUUGGUCUUUAGAUAGUGAAUCAUUGAUGUGUAAAACUAUCGAAACGCGGAAGCAAAUUUGACAACAGAAAUAAAUCAUCAUCUUGCCAAAUAAACAUCAUCCAAAACCGCUCGUCGUGUACUACAUAGAUUUAGAUACCAUGAGAGGACUUCACUUGUUACAUGUCUCCUGUCUACCCUCAACAAUGAUAAACGGAAAAAAUUGAUUCUAAACUACCAGAAGUGUUCAAUGGCUAAACGGAGCCUCAUCAUCUUCCCUUGUGGAUCAUCAUUCAGCAAUUGUCCCACACCGAAGCAAGUUUAUGUCUCGAGAAGCUUUCAGCAUUGACUGUUUGGCACCUACUGUAAAGUGUGGAGAUGGUUCUGUGAUGAUUUGGGCAGCCAUUUUAUAGAAUUCUCACGACUUCUGAGUUUUUACCAUGACAGGAUUAAAGCCAAGAAUUAUCUCAGUAUUUGGGCUAAUAAUGUCCAUGACAGAGUACCAAACAUUGUUCCCUAAUUGUAGUUCAAUCAUCCAGGAAGUUACUGUGCCGGUUUACUCAAUAAGGUUAUGUUACGAAUAACACGAAAGUAAAUUAUACCAUCUGGAUUGGCCUCCACAAUCAUUUCAUCUUAAUAUAGUCGAAGAGUCAUGUUGCAUUUUGGGAUAGCACUUGAGGAUACACUUCCUUCCGCCAUGGCCACUGAAAAAGCUAAAGCAGGUUUUACUUGAAGAAUGGUUAAAACAUCUCCGAAUAGCAGUUCAGAAACGUGCCAAUUUCUCGCCAUUUUGAAGCCGUGGUUAAAGGUGAACUAAAAAUGAAUUAAAUAAUAAAACUUCUAUUUAA